AGAAACUUGAAGGUUUGGAGAGCAAGAAGAAAAAUCCUCUAGUUCCCAGUUAUCCUCUUGUCCCUAGUUAUGAAGAAAAACCUCUGCCCCAGACUGGGAACAGUUUAAAAUGCAGCUCCUCAGCACAGCUUGUGGGAUAACGCCUGAGAAUGUGCUGCCCUGCCUGGGGCUGGACCCACCCCACUCACACCCAGCUGCACAUUCAAUUGCUCAGACGCCUCCUGUCCCCCAUGACCUUUUAACAGCGCCACAGGGAGGAUCAGCAGGGCUCCUUGUGAGCACCUGGGAAAGUGCCAGAGGACAUUUCAGCAACCAGAAGCAUGGAGAAGGGUAUUUAGGUUUUGUUUAAAUUUUUAACCAAAGUUUGGGAGAGUUUCCAGGAGCAGUGUGGGCCGUGGUUCAAUGCUGCUGGUCCCUCCAGCUGGAUCCCACCUGCAAGUCAAGUACCUCAAUCUUUGUUUUUGCCCACACAACCACUUGUCAGACUAUGGGGCUGUUCCACUGCUAUCACAUAGAGGCACAAAGGCAAGAACAGCUCCAGCCCUUGUCACCCUGGGAAUGUGUGGGGAAACCAUGGAGCUCCCCAGCCACUGCAGCCACAGGAGACAUUGCUCCAUCAGGAGAGGAUCUUGACAAGGUUCUCUUGCCACAGGCUGGAGUGACUCUGUUCAGAGGCAGCUGGGGAAGGAGAGGGGUCACUGUGAGUCCCACAGCAGCCAUGAGGAGCCCCUCAAGUGCUCAUAAAUGGGCAGAGCAACACAGCUCAGGGCUCUGCUGUCAGCUCAGAGGAUUGCACAGAGCAACCUUGCUUGCCCAGACCUUGGAGUGUGUCUGUACUGUCUAGAGCCUGCAGUUCUCAUGGUGAAGAAAACUGGAAGUUAUUCUCCUGGUCUUCUGUGUGAGUAGUAGAAUGGGUUUGGUAUUGCAGCAGAAAAAGCUGAUAUGGACAAGAUGCUCCCUUGGCACUUCAGCGGGGUUUGGCUGCAACCUCCGUGCAAGAAAUCUCGUCUUGCCUCCAACUGGGAAUCCCCCAAAUCCCAACAAAUGGGAUUCAGAAUCAUGUCAAGGUAUGAAACAGUCCUUCUCUGUUGGGAUUUUGCCACAUUAUGAUUCUUAUUCCUGCUCCAAAACUCACUGGGAGAUAUGGCUUUGUUCUCUUAGAUUUGACUCCAACUGGGAAUCCACCAAAUCCCAACAAAUGGGAUUCAGAAUCAUGUCAGGGUAUGAAACAGUCCUUCUCUGUUGGGAUUUUGCCACAUUACGGUUCUUAUUCCUGUUCCCAAACUCGCUGGGAGACAUGGCUUUGUUCUCUUAGAUUUGGCUCAGGAAUUUAAGGUGAGGGCUCCAUCACUGCAAGAGAGCAUCACAACCAUUCCAAGUUGUAUGGAUGUGGGGUAGAGGCAGGUUUUUCUGUGUUUGUGGUGGAUCAGUGGUUGCACAGAGGGAUCUUCAGUGAAGACAUGCACCCGCUCAUCAAUAUUUGUGUAAAUGAGGAAAAAGACAGAAAAAAACAGUUUGGGGCAAGGAAGAGUGCAGGCCCUGGGAGUGAGUGAGACAAAAAAGCCAAAGUGAUAGCUGUAAAUGGUUUUAAAUAUAUACAAAACACAUCUGUGUAAUUAAUCACCCUGAUUUAAGUUACACCCCUUUUUUCAUGUGUGUGUAGGUAACACCAAGGGCUACAGUGUUAUCUUGGAGGAAUGUUUGUGUCUGGGGAUCCAUACUCACCCUGCCAAUAACAAAUCUUCCCCCGAGUUUCUGAACCAUUAAUUACAGUUUUGUAACAGGCAAGUUUUGCAACCAGCUCAAGGUAAUUCACUACAACACAGACGUCUGGCAGAAACAAAUGAAUCUCUGAUGUGAAAACUGACAGUUGCUUAGACAUGAAUGCUCAAGACUUUGUAAUGUUUGUUAUUAAAAAUAAAACGAGUCUCACUGUCCUUGCCAGCCUGCCUGCCUCCAUACACUUUUCAGCACACUGGCACCUGGGAAGAACCAUUUCCCCCAGCUAAAAAGCAAGCACCAACAACCCCAAGCAGGUCAAGAAUUAAAAGUUAAGGUCCCACAUUUUCAGAG